CAGGAUGAACGCUGGCGGCGUGCCUAACACAUGCAAGUCGAACGAAGCGAUUAGGAUGAAGUUUUCGGAUGGAUUCCUGGUUGACUGAGUGGCGGACGGGUGAGUAACGCGUGGAUAACCUGCCUCACACUGGGGGAUAACAGUUAGAAAUGGCUGCUAAUACCGCAUAAGCGCACAGUACCGCAUGGUACGGUGUGAAAAACCCAGGUGGUGUGAGAUGGAUCCGCGUCUGAUUAGCCAGUUGGCGGGGUAACGGCCCACCAAAGCGACGAUCAGUAGCCGACCUGAGAGGGUGACCGGCCACAUUGGGACUGAGACACGGCCCAAACUCCUACGGGAGGCAGCAGUGGGGAAUAUUGCACAAUGGGCGAAAGCCUGAUGCAGCGACGCCGCGUGAGUGAAGAAGUAUCUCGGUAUGUAAAGCUCUAUCAGCAGGGAAGAAAAUGACGGUACCUGACUAAGAAGCCCCGGCUAACUACGUGCCAGCAGCCGCGGUAAUACGUAGGGGGCAAGCGUUAUCC
rnacentral:rRNA from 1 species